AUCAAAAGCACUUUGAAAAGAGGGUGAAAAGAACCUGAAACCGUUACGAGGGAAGCGUAUUGCGUUGAAUUGGUGGCUAUGUUUGUGUUCAGCCGUCCGGUGUAUUCACAAUCUAGUUAUCCGUCGUGCCUUUCCUGGGGCUGAUUAUGAGCUCCGGGAGGGGGAGGGAUCCCCUUUAUGGGUGUGAGGACGAUGGAGUGCCAACGCGAUGCGACCCGUCUUGAAACACGGACCAAGGAGUCUAACACAGUUGCGAGUCGAAGGGUGGAAAAACCUGUAGGCGCAGUGAAAGCGAACUUUCCAGAACUGGCAGUUUGUGGCGGCAUAAAAUCGUUGAUUCUAGGUCCGACCUAGAGCAGUUGUGUUAGGACCCGAAAGAUGGUGAACUAUGCUUGAGUAGAGUGAAGGCAGAAGAAAUUCUGCUGGAGGCUCGAAGCGGUGCUGACGUGCAAAUCGCUCGUCGAACUCGAGUAUAGGGGCGAAAGACUAAUCGAACCAUCUAGUAGCUGGUUCCCUCCGAAGUUUCUCUCAGGAUAGCGGGCCGACACUUAUUGUUUUGUGC
rnacentral:rRNA from 1 species